rnacentral:rRNA from 1 species
UACGUAGGUGGCAAGCGUUACUCGGAAUUACUAGGCGUAAAGCGCAGGUAGGUGGUUGGGUAAGUCCGCAAUGAAAGCUCCCGGCUUAACUGGGAGAGUUUGUGGAUACUGCCUGACUCGAGUGUGGGAGAGGUAACUGGAAUUCCCGGUGUAGCGGUGAAAUGCGUAGAGAUCGGGAGGAACACCAACGGCGAAAGCAGGUUACUGGCCCAAUACUGACACUGAGCUGCGAAAGCUAGGGGAGCAAACAGGAUUAGAUACCCUGGUAGU